UUAUGAAUGAACAUGGGAAUGAAAAAAACAUUAAGAUCGACCUUGUUCCAUAGCUGCAGGCAUAUCCUUAAAGCAUCAAACAUAACGUUUAACAAAUGGCCGCAGUUAGCUUCGAGACGUUUGCAGCCAAACACAUUUCGUUCCUCAAUACUUAACACACACCAACGGAAUGCUUCGAUAA